GUCCUAGUGGUGUAGCAGUAACAUCUACAGCUCCAACUGUAGGUCCUGGGUUCGAAUCCCGGUUAGGGCA